GACGAACGCUGGCGGUGUGCUUAACACAUGCAAGUCGAACGGUAAGGCCCUUUCGGGGGUACACGAGUGGCGAACGGGCGAGUAACACGUGAGUAACCUGCCCUCAUCUCUGGGAUAACAGUCGGAAACGGUUGCUAAUACUGGAUAUGAGCUUGCAAGGCAUCUUGUGGGUUGGAAGGAUUUUUUUGGUUGGGGAUGGACUAGCGGCCUAUUAGCUUGUUGGUGGGGUAGUGGUUCACCAAGGCCUCGACGGGUAGCCGGCCUGCGAGGGCGGCCGGCCACAUUGGGACUGAGAUACGGCCCAAACUCCUACGGGAGGCAGCAGUGGGGAAUAUUGCACAAUGGACGGAAGUCUGAUGCAGCAACGCCGCGUGCGGGAUGACGGCCUUCGGGUUGGAAACCGCUUUCAAUUGUGACGAAGCUUUUUGUGACGGUAGCAGUAGAAGAAGCACCGGCUAACUACGUG
rnacentral:rRNA from 1 species